rnacentral:rRNA from 1 species
GAUGAACGCUAGCGACAGGCUUAACACAUGCAAGUCGAACGGUAUGUGGCAACACAUAGAGUGGCGAACGGGUGAGUAACACGUGGGAACGUAUCUUUUGCAGGGGGAUAACUGACCGAAAGGACAGCUAAUACCGCAUAAGUCCGGGAGGAGAAAGGUGCAAAAGCAUCGGCAGAAGAGCGGCCCGCGGUCCAUCAGCUAGUUGGUGAGGUAAGGGCUUACCAAGGCGACGACGGAUAGCCGGCGUGAGAGCGUGGCCGGCCACAAGGACACUGAGAUACGGGUCCU